CUUACCUUUGUGGCUUCUGUGUUUUGUUUUAUAGAAUAACUUGCCCGUUGUUGUGUGGUAGACAUUGUGCAUCUCAGGAUUCGUUGUUGCCUUUCUGGAAAAAAUUCUCUCUGUUGGAGGGAUAACACGUUAUUUCCGGCCUUUUCCUUGUCCACACUGUGGUUAUUUAUUUAAUAAAAUAAAAUAAAAUAAAAUA